GACGAACGCUGGCGGCGUGCUUAACACAUGCAAGUCGAGCGGUAAGGCCCUUUCGGGGGUACACGAGCGGCGAACGGGUGAGUAACACGUGGGUGACCUGCCCUCAGCUCUGGGAUAAGCCUGGGAAACCGGGUCUAAUACCGGAUAUGACUCCAUGACGCAUGUUGUGGGGUGGAAAGCCUUGUGCGGCUGAGGAUGGGCCCGCGGCCUAUCAGCUUGUUGGG
rnacentral:rRNA from 1 species